rnacentral:misc_RNA from 1 species
AACGCACAUUGCGCCCCUUGGUAUUCCAUGGGGCAUGCCUGUUCGAGCGUCAUUUGUACCCUCAAGCUCUGCUUGGUGUUGGGUGUUUGUCCUGCCUUGCGUAUGGACUCGCCUUAAAGUUAUUGGCAGCCGGCGUAUUGUCCGUGGAGCGUAGCACAUUUUACGCGCCUGGUAUCAAAUCGUUGGCGUCCAUAAAGCCUAACUUAUCACUUUUGACCUCGGAUCAGGUAGGGAUACCCGCUGAACUUAA